UGUGUGUGUGUCUGAUAGAUAGGCCACAAUAGAUAGGCCUCGAUAAUUCAAUAUCACAGCCUAAUAUUAUUUAAGUGUCCAAUAUCUCAUCAUUGUAGGGACCUGUUUGUGGCUGGGUGUUGUGUAUUUGAUUGUUACUGUAAUAUAUUCCUGUGUGUGUGUGUGUGUGUGUGUGUGUGUGUGAGAGAGAGUGUGUUAGAAAGCGAGAGAGAAAGAUAAUAGUUGAGUAUUGUCUAGGAGUGUGUGUGUGACUGUGUCUAGGAGUGUGUGUGUGACUGUGUCUAGGAGUGUGUGUGUGACUGUGUGUCUAGGAGUGUGUGUGUGUGUGACUGUGUGUCUAGGAUGGUGUGUGUGUGACUGUGUGUCUAGGAGGGUGUGUGUGUGACUGUGUGUCUAGGAGGGUGUGUGUGACUGUGUCUAGGAGUGUGUGUGUGACUGUGUGUGUGUGACUGUGUGUCUAGGAGGGUGUGUGUGUGUGACUGUGUGUCUAGGAUGGUGUGUGUGUGACUGUGUGUCUAGGAGGGUGUGUGUGUGACUGUGUGUCUAGGAGGGUGUGUGUGACUGUGUGUCUAGGAGUGUGUGUGUGACUGUGUGUCUAGGAGUGUGUGUGUGACUGUGUGUCUAGGAGGGAGUGUGUGUGACUGUGUGUCUAGGAGGGUGUGUGUGACUGUGUGUCUAGGAGGGUGUGUGUGUGACUGUGUGUCUAGGAGUGUGUGUGUGUGUGUGUCUAGGAGGGUGUGUGUGUGACUGUGUGUCUAGGAGGGUGUGUGUGACUGUGUGUCUAGGAGUGUGUGUGUGACUGUGGCUAGGAGGGUGUGUGUGACUGUGUGUGUGUGACUGUGUGUCUAGGAGAGUGUGUGUGUGACUGUGUGUCUAGGAGUGUGUGUGUGACUGUGUGUGUGUGACUGUGUGUCUAGGAGUGUGUGUGUGACUGUGUGUCUAGGAGUGUGUGCGUGUGACUGCGUGUCUAGGAGUGUGUGUGUGACUGUGUGUCUAGGAAUGUGUGUGACUGUGUGUGUGUGACUGUGUGUCUAGGAGUGUGUGUGUGACUGUGUGUCUAGGAGUGUGUGUGUGACUGUGUGUCUAGGAGUGUGUGUGUGACUGUGUCUAGGAGUGUGUGCAUGUGACUGUGUGUCUAGGAGUGUGUGUGUGACUGUGUGUCUAGGAGUGUGUGUGUGACUGUGUGUCUUGGAGUGUGUGGGUGACUGUGUGUGUGUGACUGUGUGUCUAGGAGUGUGUGUGUGACUGUGUGUCUAGGAGUGUGUGUGUGACUGUGUGUCUAGGAGUGUGUGUGUGACUGUGUGUCUAGGAGUGUGUGUGUGACUGUGUGUCUAGGAGUGUGUGAGUGACUGUGUCUAGGAGGGUGUGUGUGACUGUGUGUCUAGGAGUGUGUGUGUGACUGUGUGUCUAGGAGGGUGUGUGUGUGACUGUGUGUCUAGGAGGGUGUGUGUGUGACUGUGUGUCUAGGAGGGUGUGUGUGUGACUGUGUGUCUAGGAGGGUGUGUGUGUGACUGUGUGUCUAGGAGGGUGUGUGUGUGACUGUGUCUAGGAGGGUGUGUGUGACUGUGUGUCUAGGAGUGUGUGUGACUGUGUGUCUAGGAGGGUGUGACUGUGUGUCUAGGAGGGUGUGUGUGUGACUGUGUGUCUAGGAGUGUGUGUGUGACUGUGUGUCUAGGAGUGUGUGUGUGACUGUGUGUCUAGGAGGGUGUGUGUGUGACUGUGUGUCUAGGAGUGUGUGUGUGACUGUGUCUAGGAGUGUGUGUGUGACUGUGUCUAGGAGUGUGUGCGUGUGACUGUGUGUCUAGGAGUGUGUGUGUGACUGUGUGUCUAGGAGUGUGUGCGUGUGACUGUGUGUCUAGGAGGGUGUGUGUGACUGUGUGUCUAGGAGGGUGCGUGUGACUGUGUGUCUAGGAGUGUGUGUGUGACUGUGUGUCUAGGAGUGUGUGUGUGACUGUGUGUCUAGGAGUGUGUGUGUGACUGUGUGUCUAGGAGUGUGUGUGUGACUGUGUCUAGGAGUGUGUGCGUGUGACUGUGUGUCUAGGAGUGUGUGCGUGUGACUGUGUGUCUAGGAGUGUGUGUGUGACUGUGUCUAGGAGUGUGUGCGUGUGACUGUGUGUCUAGGAGUGUGUGUGUGACUGUGUGUCUAGGAGUGUGUGUGUGACUGUGUGUCUAGGAGUGUGUGUGUGACUGUGUGUCUAGGAGUGUGUGUGUGACUGUGUGUCUAGGAGUGUGUGUGUGACUGUGUGUGUGUGUGACUGUGUGUCUAGGAGGGUGUGUGUGUGACUGUGUGUCUAGGAGGGUGUGUGUGUGACUGUGUGUCUAGGAGGGUGUGUGUGACUGUGUGUCUAGGAGGGUGUGUGACUGUGUGUCUAGGAGGGUGUGUGUGACUGUGUGUCUAGGAGCGUGUGUGACUGUGUCUAGGAGGGUGUGAGUGACUGUGUGUCUAGGAGGGUGUGUGUGACUGUGUGUCUAGGAGUGUAUGUGUGACUGUGUGUCUAGGAGUAUGUGUAAAUGUGUGUCUAGGAGGGUGUGUGUGACUGUGUGUCUUGGAGGGUGGGUGUGACUGUGUGUCUAGGAGGGUGUGUGUGACUGUGUGUCUAGGAGGGUGUGUGUGACUGUGUGUCUAGGAGUGUGUGUGUGACUCUCUCAGCUCAGUGGCCAGUCUUUGCCAGUGUGUCACUGCGGUAAUAAAGACGGAUGGGCCUGUCUGCUGUUGCUGUGAUUGGGCUGCAGCUGAUCUGUGUGUGUGUGAAUAGCAUACUCUGAAUAGCAUACUCUGAGUUGUCCUUAUGUUAGGUCCUGAUCUGGCUAUGCCAUAUGGCUGUGGGCUACCCUAGUUCAUAGCAGACAAGAUUUGCUUAGAAUUCCAUGGCAUUAUUUUAUAUUAUUUUAUAGUAUGACGAAUACAAUUGAACAAAGAUGAAUAAAAUAGAAAGGAUAUGUUCUCCAAACGAUUUGCAGGAUUGUGCACAUGCAGCUAUUCUGUGUUGAGCGGUUAACAAAGAAAUAGGUCCUCCUAUAUGCUUAAUUUAGAGUUAUUAAUGUAACUUUAGUCGUUCUACAAACGUUGGGCUAUAUGUUUAGAUUUUUAAUACAUUGUAAGGCUGCAUGAUGCGAAUCUAAUGAUGAUUUGAAAAAAGUCGCUUGAAAGCCAUGAGCUGUACACACUACAUCAGUCACUCAUUCACAAUUUGACAAGCACUUGAUAAUGACUUUUGUGGCCAGUGGCCAUUCUGCGCUUCUCACUGAGUGUUGUGCGCUCCAUCAGGUGAUGGGUCUUUCUCACAGGCUACAAGUGAAGACAGACACAUCGGGAACGCAACUGCGCAACUGCGCGCAUCCUCCGUGCAUAUUGAAGAUAUUGGAAGAACUGUCCACAUUUACUUUUCGUCAGCCAACAAUAUGAGUUGGCCUAACGAACAGCAAAAGCAAUAGCCUAUGUCAAUCUACUAUCCCCCAUAGUACAAAGGUCAGCCUAUUCUAUUCUGUGCGAGAAAUAAAUAUUCCAAACAUAAUCUGGGACAGUUGUGGGAUGCGAUAGAUUUCAAAUGAAUACAACCACUAGCAUCAAAAACAUUUUUUUACGCAAUGCGGCUGACGCAACAGAUCAGAAUGUUUAGCUUGAAAUGUUGAUAAACUAUUAGGCUAUUUCUUCACAUUAUAAGCGUA
rnacentral:lncRNA from 1 species